GUGGGGAAUUUUGGACAAUGGGGGCAACCCUGAUCCAGCCAUGCCGCGUGAGUGAAGAAGGCCUUCGGGUUGUAAAGCUCUUUCGGCCGGGACGAAAUCGCACUCUCUAAUACGGGGUGUGGAUGACGGUACCGGAAUAAGAAGCACCGGCUAACUACGUGCCAGCAGCCGCGGUAAUACGUAGGGUGCGAGCGUUAAUCGGAAUUACUGGGCGUAAAGCGUGCGCAGGCGGUUGUACAAGACAGGCGUGAAAUCCCCGGGCUUAACCUGGGAACUGCGCUUGUGACUGUACGACUAGAGUACGGCAGAGGGGGGUGGAAUUCCACGUGUAGCAGUGAAAUGCGUAGAGAUGUGGAGGAACACCGAUGGCGAAGGCAGCCCCCUGGGCCGAUACUGACGCUCAUGCACGAAAGCGUGGGGAGCAAACAGGAUUAGAAACCCCGGUAGUCC
rnacentral:rRNA from 1 species